rnacentral:rRNA from 1 species
AGGCGUAGUCGAUGGGAAACGGGUUAAUAUUCCCGUACUUGGUGUUACUGCGAAGGGGGGACGGAGAAGGCUAUGUUGGCCGGGCGACGGUUGUCCCGGUUUAAGCGUGUAGGCUGGUUUUCCAGGCAAAUCCGGAAAAUCAAGGCUGAGGCGUGACGACGAGGCACUACGGUGCUGAAGCAACAAAUGCCCUGCUUCCAGGAAAAGCCUCUAAGCAUCAGGUAACACGAAAUCGUACCCCAAACCGACACAGGUGGUCAGGUAGAGAAUACCAAGGCGCUUGAGAGAACUCGGGUGAAGGAACUAGGCAAAAUGGUGCCGUAACUUCGGGAGAAGGCACGCUGACACGUAGGUGAAGUGAUUUACUCAUGGAGCUGAAGUCAGUCGAAGAUACCAGCUGGCUGCAACUGUUUAUUAAAAACACAGCACUGUGCAAACACGAAAGUGGACGUAUACGGUGUGACGCCUGCCCGGUGCCGGAAGGUUAAUUGAUGGGGUCAGCGCAAGCGAAGCUCCUGAUCGAAGCCCCGGUAAACGGCGGCCGUAACUAUAACGGUCCUAAGGUAGCGAAAUUCCUUGUCGGGUAAGUUCCGACCUGCACGAAUGGCGUAAUGAUGGCCAGGCUGUCUCCACCCGAGACUCAGUGAAAUUGAACUCGCUGUGAAGAUGCAGUGUACCCGCGGCAAGACGGAAAGACCCCGUGAACCUUUACUAUAGCUUGACACUGAACAUUGAGCCUUGAUGUGUAGGAUAGGUGGGAGGCUUUGAAGUGUGGACGCCAGUCUGCAUGGAGCCAACCUUGAAAUACCACCCUUUAAUGUUUGAUGUUCUAACGUGGACCCGUAAUCCGGGUUGCGGACAGUGUCUGGUGGGUAGUUUGACUGGGGCGGUCUCCUCCUAAAGAGUAACGGAGGAGCACGAAGGUUGGCUAAUCCUGGUCGGACAUCAGGAGGUUAGUGCAAUGGCAUAAGCCAGCUUGACUGCGAGCGUGACGGCGCGAGCAGGUGCGAAAGCAGGUCAUAGUGAUCCGGUGGUUCUGAAUGGAAGGGCCAUCGCUCAACGGAUAAAAGGUACUCCGGGGAUAACAGGCUGAUACCGCCCAAGAGUUCAUAUCGACGGCGGUGUUUGGCACCUCGAUGUCGGCUCAUCACAUCCUGGGGCUGAAGUAGGUCCCAAGGGUAUGGCUGUUCGCCAUUUAAAGUGGUACGCGAGCUGGGUUUAGAACGUCGUGAGACAGUUCGGUCCCUAUCUGCCGUGGGCGCUGGAGAACUGAGGGGGGCUGCUCCUAGUACGAGAGGACCGGAGUGGACGCAUCACUGGUGUUCGGGUUGUCAUGCCAAUGGCACUGCCCGGUAGCUAAAUGCGGAAGAGAUAAGUGCUGAAAGCAUCUAAGCACGAAACUUGCCCCGAG